rnacentral:lncRNA from 1 species
AUGAGCAGGCAUACAUGGAGGCAGAACGCAGGCACGCCACGGGCCUGAAGCAGGGCUGCCACACGCCACCAUUCGACAACUCAAGGGCACCAUUCAUUCAUGCAGGCUGUCCUGACAAAAUGCCAAGUUAGCAAAAUAAGGUAUGUUUGUUUUUUUUUUUUUAAUAAUCGCUUCUUUUAGAUAAAUGUGCAAUCUUCCUUUAUAAAAGCUUUUUGUGAGAAGUUUCUUAUCUCAUGUAGCACACACCACGGUUGUAUCACCUAAGCCAUGGCAAUCUGCAAUAAGAUAAGUACAGAGAGUAAAACAGUGUUUAGAUACAAUUAUAGCAAUUUGAUAUUGCUGUGGCAAAUUUAUAUUUCUCAAAAGUGCUGGUCUGCAGUGCACUGGGAAAACAAAAACGAAAAACUGAUCCUUCACACAGAGCUGGUGAAGUAGUGACCUAAACUCCGCUUGUAAUUAAAGAAUGGUUGCACUACAUCUAAAUGUCUAUUCUAUCUACUCAUACCUAUUUUAUACUAUCUUAUAGAUCUAACUCCCCGACCCCUUUCCCCAACAGUGGCAGUGUUCCUGUAAUUAAGGCACACGGGGUUUGGUGGGUUACAUAAUUCCCAUGUUAUCUUCCAAGCCCUUCCACAUCGACUGGCAAAACCACCAGUGUGAAGAGUCUGAGGACACUAUAGGCGCAGAAAGAUCCUCCCUUCCCACCAUGCCCCAACCUGAACAGCUGCUUUCACUAUCUUCCUUUCUCCUUUCCCUGGGGGGCUCUAAGAGAACUCUGGGAAAAUGCAAUUAAGUUCAAGAGAUAAUCUAAUUUCUCAUUAGCCUUGAGGUAGCUUAUCAGCAUUCCAGGGCCUAACAAAAAAGAACCAGAGACUCAACAAUGCCACAGAUUCCACUGGGUUCCAAUUCCCAAGGUUGCUUAAGUAUCAGUAAACAAGCGCUGCUAGAGUGUAGAGCAGGAGGGGCAAGUGGCUGGAAAUGAGCCAGGAGCAGUACUUGCUCUGUUCACUUGGAUUAUUCAUAAUGAAUCACAGGGAAGAACCCAUUUUAUUAUAAUACUAGUGUGGGCACUGAGAGAUAACAGGUGCAUGAAGUGACUUGGAGGCCCCCUAAAUGGCUUCCAUCCCACCCAAGGAACAAGCCUGGACAAAAGCCCCCAGGCCUGUGCCCUGGCAUCUCAGAGAACCUCCUUAGGUCCCAGUCCCACCUUCCAUCCUGUCUUCCCACCUCCCUUGCUCAAGACUGACACCUCUCGUUUCAUCCUGUUGCCUCAGUCAAAUUCUCUUUCUGACCCUUGAUUUCAGCCUCACCCUGGGUGUCAUCCUUCUGACUAACUCUUCAUGUCAAGCUCUGCAGUCCUGAAGCCAUUUCUUUUCUUUUCUUUUUUCUUUUUUUUUUUUUUUUGAUGGAGUAUCACUCUGUCAUCCAGGCUUGGAGUGUACAGUGGUGCAAUCUUGGCUCACCGCAACUUUGCGUCCCUGGUUCAAGUGAUUCCUCCGCCUCGGCCUCCCAAGUAGCUGAGACUACAGGCACACGCCACAACGCCCAGCUAAUUUUUAUAUUUUUAGCAGAGACAGGGUUUUGUCAUGUUGGCCAGGCUGGUCUUGAACUCCUGACCUCAGGUGAUCCACCUGCCUUGGCCUCCCAAAGUGCUGGGAACACAGGCGUGAGCCACCAUGCCCGGCCUCAAGAAUCUGUUCUUCAUGGGUUAUCUACUGUUUCAUUACAACAAUCAUCUUGUGAGUUAGGUAUUAUCCCCAUUUUAUACCCAGAGAAACUAAGCCUUAGAAAGGUAACUAAGGAUACACACACACAGAGACACUUUUAAUACGUAGAUAGGAUAUUACGGCAUUUACUACACUAUGAGUCAUCAUCAGCUUCCCUGCUAGACUGCGCACUUCGUAAGAA